rnacentral:rRNA from 1 species
CCUACGGGAGGCAGCAGUGGGGAAUAUUGGACAAUGGGGGAAACCCUGAUCCAGCGACGCCGCGUGACUGAAGAAGUAUUUCGGUAUGUAAAGGUCUAUCAGCAGGGAAGAAAAUGACGGUACCUUAGGAGGAAGCCCCGGCUAACUACGUGCCAGCAGCCGCGGUAAUACGUAGGGGGCAAGCGUUAUCCGGAAUCACUGGGCGUAAAGGGUGCGGAGGCGGCUAAGUAAGCCAGGGGUGAAAGGCUACGGCUCAACCGUAGUAAGCCUUUGGAACUACUUAGCUUGAGUGCAGGAGAGGAGAGUGGAAUUCCUAGUGUAGCGGUGAAAUGCGUAGAUAUUAGGAGGAACACCAGUGGCGAAGGCGACUCUCUGGACUGUAACUGACGCUGAGGCACGAAAGCGUGGGGAGCAAACAGGAUUAGAUACCCGUGUAGUC